GGCGUAGUGUAACGGUAACACAUUGGGUUCAUACCCCGAAGAAGCGGUUCGACUCCGACGCGUGCAACCA
rnacentral:tRNA from 1 species